UACGGCUCAGUAACACGUGGACAACCUACCCUACGGAGGGGGAUAACCCCGGGAAACUGGGGAUAAUACCCCAUAGACUAUGGAUGCUGGAAUGCUCUGUAGCCGAAAGGUCCGCCGCCGUAGGAUGGGUCUGCGGCCGAUUAGGUUGUUGUUGGGGUAACGGCCCAACAAGCCUGUAAUCGGUACGGGUUGUGGGAGCAAGAGCCCGGAGAUGGAUUCUGAGACACGAAUCCAGGCCCUACGGGGCGCAGCAGGCGCGAAAACUUUGCAAUGCGGGAAACCGUGACAAGGGAACUCUGAGUGCCCGUAAAAUCGGGCUGUCCAUCGGUUUAAAUAACCGGUGAAGAAAGGGCCGGGCAAGACCGGUGCCAGCCGCCGCGGUAAUACCGGCGGCUCGAGUGGUGGCCACUAUUACUGGGCUUAAAGCGUUCGUAGCUGGUUUGCUAAGUCUCUGGGGAAAUCUUCCGGCUUAACCGGAAGGCGUCUCAGGGAUACUGGCAGACUAGGGACCGGGAGAGGUGAGAGGUACUCCAGGGGUAGGAGUGAAAUCCUGUAAUCCUUGGGGGACCACCUGUGGCGAAGGCGUCUCACCAGAACGGCUCCGACAGUGAGGGACGAAAGCUGGGGGAGCAAACCGGAUUAGAUACCCGGGUAGUCCCAGCUGUAAACGAUGCGCGUUAGGUGUAUCGGUGACCACGAGUCACCGAGGNNNCGAAGAGAAAUCGUGAAACGUGCCGCCUGGGAAGUACGGUCGCAAGGCUGAAACUUAAAGGAAUUGGCGGGGGAGCGCA
rnacentral:rRNA from 1 species